UACGUAGGGGGCAAGCGUUAUCCGGAUUUACUGGGUGUAAAGGGAGCGUAGACGGAAUGGCAAGUCUGAAGUGAAAUACCCGGGCUCAACCUGGGAACUGCUUUGGAAACUGUUGUUCUAGAGUGUUGGAGAGGUAAGUGGAAUUCCUGGUGUAGCGGUGAAAUGCGUAGAUAUCAGGAAGAACACCGGAGGCGAAGGCGGCUUACUGGACAAUAACUGACGUUGAGGCUCGAAAGCGUGGGGAUCAAACAGG
rnacentral:rRNA from 3 species